rnacentral:tRNA from 1 species
CAAAAUAAAGCUUAAAUGAAGCAAUUCACUUACACUGAAAAGAGGCCGUUAAAUACGGUGUAUUUUGA